UGGGGAAUAUUGGGCAAUGGGCGCAAGCCUGACCCAGCCACGCCGCGUGAGUGAUGAAGGCCUUCGGGUCGUAAAGCUCUGUGGGGAAGGACGAAAAAACAUUGGCUAAUAUCCAAUGGCUUGACGGUACUUCCUUAGCAAGCACCGGCUAACUCUGUGCCAGCAGCCGCGGUAAUACAGAGGGUGCAAACGUUGCUCGGAAUCAUUGGGCGUAAAGCGCACGUAGGCGGCCUGAUAAGUCGGUAGUGAAAGCCCUCGGCUUAACCGAGGAAGUGCUAUCGAAACUGCCAGGCUUGAGUACCGGAGAGGAUCGCGGAAUUCCCGGUGUAGAGGUGAAAUUCGUAGAUAUCGGGAGGAACACCAGUGGCGAAGGCGGCGAUCUGGACGGAUACUGACGCUGAGGCGCGAAAGCCAGGGGAGCAAACGGGAUUAGAUACCCACGUAGUCCCUGAGCGGGCUGGCAAGGCGCAU
rnacentral:rRNA from 1 species